CUGAGGCCUUCCCAGCCAUGCUCUGGUACAGCCCAUGGAAAUGGAGCCCAGAGGGAGCCAUCCAAUGCCCUUCAUGAAGUCAGCAUAGUCAGCCUUGUACUGAUUCUGCAAAAGAGGAAAAAUUAAAUUAUGAGAAGAAACUGGAACUUCCCAAGAAUCCUAAGUGUGUGUUUAACAUUCUGUAACUUCCAUUUCAUUUGUAAAUUUUCUGUAACUUUUCCACUUCAAUAUUUGCUUGAAUAUUGGUAUUUAACCAAUAGCAUGUUGAACUUCAACCAUUUCUUCCCUAAACUUUUAUCCUUUUUAUAUUUCCUUGCAUGAUAAAUUAAAAAUAAGCAGAAA
rnacentral:lncRNA from 10 species